rnacentral:rRNA from 1 species
AUGGAAGAUGCGGUAAGCUCCAACCCAGGUAUAAACUCUUGCGAUUUUCUUCUUGAUUCUUUGGUCGACUGCAUUCGAGUAGUUCACUUGGGGUUGAAUGAUCUGCCUUGCAGCUCACCCAACGUCAUCGAUCUUCCAUAUGACGAUGAAGAUGUGGCUCUUAAGCCCAGGAAGAGCAAGAAGGUAGCAGCUGGUAGGAUGUCUCGGCAAGAACCCACUACAACACCUCCCGUCCGUCAACCUGAAGACGCGGGCAGGGCCUCUGUGACCUUUGCUGCACCCUUGUCGAGUGAGCACCCCACACCGCCGACUGCGCCUGUGAUUCCUUCAGUCGUCCAACUCCACACCACGGAGCUCCAAGCCGCCGCACCUGGGUCGACUGCUCACUUUUUCACCAGCUAUCCCGUCCCGGACAACCAGUCGGAAGCGGCUGCGGAAGCCAUCCAACAGGCUGACAUGAUGAUGGAGCGAGUGAAGACGGUGCAUGAGAACAGCCAGGCUGCCUACGACGCUAGUGCUGCCCUUCGGGCCAAUGUCCAGGUGAGUAGACUUUCCGACCGUUUUUGCUCUGUGAGGAAGUGUUACUCGAAAAAAUCUUCUUCUGCAUAA